UGAGGAAUAUUGGGCAAUGCCCGCAAGGGUGACCCAGCAACGCCGCGUGGAGGAUGAAUGUCGUAAGAUUGUAAACUCCUGUUAGAGGGGAAGAAUAGUACCGGUUGGACCGGUAUAUGACUGUACCCUCAGAGAAAGCCCCGGCUAACUACGUGCCAGCAGCCGCGGUAAUACGUAGGACCCAAGCGUUGUCCGGAUUUACUGGGUGUAAAGGGUGCGUAGGUGGGUAUGUAAGUCAGUGGUGAAAUCCCCGAGCUUAACUUGGGAACUGCCAUUGAUACUAUAUAUCUUGAAUACCGUAGAGGUAAGCGGAAUAUGUCAUGUAGCGGUGAAAUGCUUAGAUAUGACAUGGAACACCAAUUGCGAAGGCAGCUUACUAUGCGGUGAUUGACACUGAGGCACGAAAGCGUGGGUAGCAAACA
rnacentral:rRNA from 1 species